UACGAAGGGUGCAAGCGUUAAUCGGAAUUACUGGGCGUAAAGCGUGCGUAGACGGUUGCGUAAGUCAGAUGUGAAAGCCCCGGGCUCAACCUGGGAAUUGCAUUUGAGACUGCGUAGCUAGGGUGCGGAAGAGGGAAGCGGAAUUUCCGGUGUAGCGGUGAAAUGCGUAGAUAUCGGAAGGAACACCAGUGGCGAAAGCGGCUUCCUGGUCCAGCACCGACGUUCAGGCACGAAAGCGUGGGGAGCAAACAGG
rnacentral:rRNA from 1 species